ACGAACGUUGGCGGUGUGGAUUAGGCAUGCAAGUCGCGCGCGAAAGUCUUCGGACGAGUAAAGCGGCGGACGGGUGAGUAACACGUAAUCAACCUACCCCUGAGAUCGGAAUAGCCACUGGAAACGGUGGGUAAUGCUGGACGGUCCCCCUGGCUGGCAUCGGCUGGUGGGUAAAUGGCGGCGCAAGCUGCUGCUCAGGGAGGGGAUUGCGGCCUAUCAGCUAGUUGGUGAGGUAAUGGCUCACCAAGGCGAUGACGGGUAGCCGGUCUGAGAGGACGACCGGCCACACUGGGACUGAGAUACUGCCCAGACUCCUACGGGAGGCUGCAGUCGAGAAUCUUCCGCAAUGGGCGAAAGCCUGACGGAGCGACACCGCGUGCAGGAUGAAGGCCUUCGGGUUGUAAACUGCUGUCACGCUCUAGGAAUGGUGCGUUGUUAACAGCUACGCGCUUGACUAAAGCGAGAGGAAGUACCGGCUAACUCUGUGCCAGCAGCCGCGGUAAGACAGAGGGUGCUAGCGUUGUUCGGAUUCACUGGGCAUAAAGCGCACGUAGGCGGCUGGGUUUGUUCGAUGUGAAAGCCCCCGGCUCAACCGGGGAAUUGCAUCGAAUACUGCCCGGCUCGAGGACGGUUGGGGUGAGUGGAACUCCUGGUGGAGCGGUGAAAUGCGUAGAUAUCAGGAGGAACACCGGUGGCGAAAGCGGCUCACUGGACCGUCUCUGACGCUGAGGUGCGAAAGCUAGGGGGGCAAACGGGAUUAGAUACCCCGGUAGUCCUAGCCGUAAACGAUGGGCACUGGGUAGGGGGGAUUCCUAUGAUCUUCCCUGCCGGAGCAAAUGUAUUAAGUGCCCCGCUUGGGGAGUACGCUCGCAAGGGUAAAACUCAAAGGAAUUGACGGGGGCUCACACAAGCGGUGGAGCAUGUGGUUCAAUUCGAAGCAACGCGAAGAACCUUACCUGGCCUUGACAUCCACGGAUUAGUCCUCCGAAAGGAGGAUGGCAGCUCUUCGGAGUCGGAACGUGGACAGGUGUUGCAUGGCUGUCGUCAGCUCGUGUCGUGAGAUGUUGGGUUAAGUCCCGUAACGAGCGCAACCCUUGUCGCUAGUUGCCAGCGGGUAAUGCCGGGGACUCUAGUGAGACUGCCGGUGUCAAACCGGAGGAAGGUGGGGACGACGUCAAGUCAUCAUGGCCCUUAUGGCCAGGGCGACACACGUGCUACAAUGGUCGGUACAAAGGGUUCCGAAGCCGUGAGGUAGAGGCAAUCCCAAAAAGCUGACCCCAGUUCGGAUUGCAGGCUGCAAUUCGCCUGCAUGAAGCCGGAAUCGCUAGUAAUCGCGUAUCAGCCAUGACGCGGUGAAUAUGUUCCUGAGCCUUGUACACACUGCCCGUCAAGCCAUGAGAGCGGGGAGCGCUCGAAGUCGCUUUGUCUAACCUUCGGGAGGACGGCGCCGAAAGCAAGCCCCGUGAUUGGGACU
rnacentral:rRNA from 1 species